AGCAGCCGCGGUAAUUCCAGCUCCAAUAGCGUAUAUUAAAGUUGUUGCAGUUAAAAAGCUCGUAGUUGAAUUUCGGGAUCAAUACGUCGGUCGUGCUUAGGUACGUACUGGCGUAAUUGAUUUCUCCCUUCUGACGAACCAUGAUGUCAUUAACUUGGUGUCAUGGGAAAUCAGGACUGUUACUUUGAAAAAAUUAGAGUGUUUAAAGCAGGCUCACGCUUGAAUACAUUAGCAUGGAAUAAUGAAAUAGGACGUUCGAUCCUAUUUUGUUGGUUUUUAGGAUCAACGUAAUGAUUAAUAGGGAUAGUUGGGGGCAUUAGUAUUCAAUUGUCAGAGGUGAAAUUCUUGGAUUUAUUGAAGACUAACUACUGCGAAAGCAUUUGCCAAGGAUGUUUUCAUUAAUCAAGAACGAAAGUUAGGGGAUCGAAGACGAUCAGAUACCGUCGUAGUCUUAACCAUAAACUAUGCCGACUAGGGAUCGGAUGAUGUUAAUUUUUUAAUGACUCA
rnacentral:rRNA from 1 species